AAACCAUGAUGAGGACAUUGUCGUAAUGAACCCUUAAAUCUAUCUCAUGCCUCAUAUAGUGAUUCUCCAUUUACCUUAGCAAAGCUUGUGAUUUUAUAUCUUAAAUAU